rnacentral:rRNA from 1 species
CAGCAGCCGCGGUAAUACGUAGGUGGCAAGCGUUGUCCGGAAUUAUUGGGCGUAAAGAGCUCGCAGGCGGUUUCUUAAGUCUGAUGUGAAAGCCCCCGGCUCAACCGGGGAGGGUCAUUGGAAACUGGGAAACUUGAGUGCAGAAGAGGAGAGUGGAAUUCCACGUGUAGCGGUGAAAUGCGUAGGGAUGUGGAGGAACACCAGUGGCGAAGGCGGCUCUCUGGUCUGUAACUGACGCUGAGGAGCGAAAGCGUGGGGAGCGAACAGGAUUAGAUACCCCCGUAGUCCCUGUCUCUUAUAC